rnacentral:rRNA from 1 species
CCCUUAGAUGUUCUGGGCUGCACGCGUGCUACACUGAUAUUGCCAAUAUGUCAUUCUUAUCCGAAAUGGAUUGGGUAAUCAAGUAAUGAAAUUUCAUGCUUGGAAUCGGUAAUUGCAAUUUUAUCGUGAACGAGGAAUUCCUAGUAAGCACUAGUCAUCAGCUAAUGUUGAUUAUGUCCCUGCCCUUUGUACACACCGCCCGUCGCUACUACUGAUUGGGUGUUCAAGUGAGAUGCUUAGACCCUUGUUGCAUGGUUCAUUAUUGUGCUCCGAAAGGAAGAAGUUUCAAGCUUGAGUGUCUAGAGGAAGUAAAAGUCGUAACA